rnacentral:rRNA from 1 species
GUAGUUAGCCGGGGCUUCCUCCUGUGGUACCGUCACUUUCUUCACCCCACAGGACAGAGCUUUACAAUCCGAAGACCUUCUUCCCUCACGCGGCGUUGCUGGGUAAGGGUUUCCCCCAUUGCCCAAUAUUCCCCACUGCUGCCUCCCGUAGGAGUCUGGGCCGUGUCUCAGUCCCAGUGUGGCCGUUCAGCCUCUCAGCUCGGCUACCCAUCGCUGACUUGGUGGGCCGUUACCUCACCAACUAUCUAAUGGGACGCGAACACCUCCUUAACCGGCAGUUCCCUGCCUUUUACCACUCCACCAUGCGAUGCUGUGGUCUUACGCGGUAUUAGCACCGGUUUCCCGGUGUUAUCCCCCUGUUAAGGUCAGCUCAUUCACGCGUUACUCACCCGUCCGCCACUAGAACAAGCUCUGUAUUGCUACUUCGCUUGUCCCCGUUCGACUUGCAUGUGUUAGGCACGCCGCCAGCGUUCGUCCUGAGCCAGAAUCAAACUCUGA